rnacentral:rRNA from 1 species
AUGCUUUCAUUGUUUAUUACACAUACACAUGCUUAUGUUUUCAUGUCACUACCUGGAAAGAAGCAACUAGUGAACCUGCGAACCCGUUCCAAUUUUCCUCAUAAAAAUUACCACAACUUUACUUUGCAUGCAAGUUUUUAUAUAUUUAUUUAUUUUGAAAAUACAAAAAUACUUCAAACCAUAAAAUACACCCAUGACUUGUUGCAACUAGCACAGCUAGGGAGAUUGACAACCUCGAAGUUGUUGGGGACACAAGUGAAGUUCCUAGUUUCUGGUUGCAGUGUUGUUGACUGGAGUUCAGAGUGUUGCAUCUAUGGGUUGAUCCUUGGUUUUUGA